rnacentral:pre_miRNA from 1 species
AAACAGUCUCCUAUGUUUUGAUUCUUUGGCAGUUUUGACCCCAAGGCAAAAAAAAAUAAAAAAAUAUGACAUGUGGCACCUCACUUAGGUGUCACGUCAGCGUUGACCGAGUCAACAAUGGACUGAGGGUCCAAAAAUGCCAAAGAAUCAAAACAUAAGGGGCUGUUU